rnacentral:rRNA from 1 species
CAGCCGCCGCGGGAAAACGUAGGUGGCAAGCGUUGUCCGGAAUUAUUGGGCGUAAAGGGCUCGCAGGCGGUUUCUUAAGUCUGAUGUGAAAGCCCCCGGCUCAACCGGGGAGGGUCAUUGGAAACUGGGAAACUUGAGUGCAGAAGAGGAGAGUGGAAUUCCACGUGUAGCGGUGAAAUGCGUAGAGAUGUGGAGGAACACCAGUGGCGAAGGCGACUCUCUGGUCUGUAGCUGACGCUGAGGAGCGAAAGCGUGGGGAGCGAACAGGAUUAGAGACCCGCGUAGUCCCUGUCUCUUAUAC